rnacentral:rRNA from 1 species
UACGAAGGGGGGCGAGCGUUUGUUCGGAAUUACUGGGCGUAAAGGGCGCGUAGGCGGUGUGUCAAGUCGGGUGUGAAAGCCCUCAGCUCAACUGAGGAAGUGCGCCCCGAAACUGUCGUGCUUGAGUGCCGGAGAGGGUGGCGGAAUUCCCCAAGUAGAGGUGAAAUUCGUAGAUAUGGGGAGGAACACCGGUGGCGAAGGCGGCCACCUGGACCAACACUGACACUGAGGAGCGAAAGCCAGGGGAGCAAACGGG